rnacentral:ncRNA from 2 species
CCUUUGCCCUGAGUUUUCGGUGCCUGAUGUCGUUUCGUGGCGACUUUCAAGGCUUAAAAGGGAAGUUUGGUGAAAUACCAACGCUGUCCCCGCAACUGUAAGUCUCUCAAAAAGUCGAUUCAUACUCCGUGGCCACUGCGCUGAUACUCAGUGCGGGAAGGUUCGAAUCGAUGAGACGAGCCAGGAGACCUGCCGACAACCAUCCGCUGUU